CAAUAGCGUAUAUUAAAGUUGUUGCAGUUAAAAAGCUCGUAGUUGGAUUUGUGGCUGUCACGGGCGGCCUAUCACUUAGUGUUAGUGCUUGCCUGUGUCGCCAUCCUUGGGUGGAGCACGUGUGGCAUUAGGUUGUCGUGCGGGGGAUGCCCAUCGUUUACUGUGAGAAAAUUAGAGUGUUCAAAGCAGGCUUAUGCCGUUGAAUAUGUUAGCAUGGAAUAAUAAGAUAGGACCUCGGUACUAUUUUGUUGGUUUGCGCACCGAGGUAAUGAUUAAUAGGGACAGUUGGGGGUAUUCGUAUUUCAUUGUCAGAGGUGAAAUUCUUGGAUUUCUGAAAGACGAACUACUGCGAAAGCAUUUACCAAGGAUGUUUUCAUUAA
rnacentral:rRNA from 1 species